UUACUCCUUAAGACUCACACCUUUUAAUCCACGAGGCUGCACUAACAGCUCCGUCAGGCUGAACUUUGGACCAUCUUAAGGUGCGUCCACAGAGAUGUGGCGAUCAUAGAAGAUGGAAUUCCCGUCCAAUUCAGCCACUGGUAGCAACAACAAGGCGAAGUAACCAUUAGCAGUGUGAAGUGGGCAUGUUGCAACUUAUCUCAAGUUGCAGGUGAGUGAUGAAUAUGAAAACCAAUGGGAUGGAAGGAUGCCACUGACUGACAUAUGAGAGGGUGUCAAAUACAUUCAGGGGUUAAAGUGAGCCAGAACAACCACACAUGGCAUUCCAGCACCUUCAGUUAAUGAGUACUGAAGUCGAGCUGUCAGUGUAAUUGUCAUGGUCCCUGGUAGUCCUGGGGUGGUUCUGUGGGGGAUCUUUCUCUCUGCCUCUUUUUGUCUCUCUGUCCCUCUCUGUCUCUCUCUCGCUCUCUCUCGUUGCUGACUGGGAUUGGCCAGCCUGAGUCUCCUCCCACCAAACCAGCUGCUGCAGGAAGGUGUCGCACACCUGUUCCUGAUGUGGCCAUCAGGACCCCUUCUUAAGCUGGUGGAUGGCAUCUAGUCUUCGCUGGAUCGUUGACUGAACAAGCAAACUGUGAGCAGAGGGAGAGACCCAUGUCAAGGAGAUCAGACCCGAGGAAGACAUUCGGACCCCCACUGGAAGCCCCGCCGCCCCUAGCCCCAGAUUCCUUGCAUUAUUCCGGUGUUACUAUUGUUGCCAAAUAAACCACCUUUUACCUUCCUCCGGAGUCUGCGUUGUUGAGUCCACCCACCUCGUCCUCAUGACAGAACGAUCCAGCCAAAAGAUGGACUCCGCAGACUCGGAUCCAAUGAUCACAUGCGGGAACGGCGGCGCCCAAGGGACUACAGUUCCCAUCAUGCUUCACCUCCCUCACUUCCUGUUGUGGGCAAGAUGAUCCCAGUAGCGGAUGGAGGCGAGGACGGUGCGUUUGGCGAUCCCGACGAGCAACCUAUGCAGCUGGGUCGAGCCCGUUUGUCUCUAGCGGAACGGAGAAGAAGGUUGGCCGAGGAAACUGUGAGCAGAGGGAGACCCAUAUCAAGGAGAUCAGACCCGAGGAAGACAUUCGGACCCCCACUGGAAGCCCCGCCGCCCCUAGCCCCAGAUUCCUUGCAUUAUUACGGUGUUACUAUUGUUGCCAAAUAAAC